UUACAAAUCUAUUGCACAACUCCUUCAUUGAGAAAACUGUUACAUUGAUCCAAUAAUCAAUUCAAUUAAAAAUGUACAAGUUCGUUAUUUAUAUUUUUUUUUUCAUCUCAUUAAUUAUUGCAACACUCGGGUCAGAAGAAUGCAUUGAAUCAGGCUUGCAGUGCUCGCCUAUUUCGCCGCCAUGUUGCAGCAAUAAUUGCGUUCUUCAAGGCAAAGUUUUUAGUAUUUGUGCAUAAUAUAGUAGAUUCAUAUAUAUUUUAAUUUAUAAUUAUUUUCCAUAAACAAGAGAUAAAUUGAAUUUUAAUAAAGAAGGCAAUAGUUCAAGUUGAUAAUAAAUUUCUCCGAUAAAAUUAAGUAUAAAUAAGCGUAAAUUAUUAAUUUCUGUAACAAUUUCUUAAGAAGGCCACUGAAACAAAAUUUGAAUCAUGUGGAAGCUGUGUCUUUGUUUUUUACUGAUAGCGCUGAUGGCUGUCAUGACGGUCGGACAACAGUGUAAAAAAAAGGACGAUCAGUGCUCGACUUUGUCACCGUUGUGCUGCAGCGGAAUUUGUAUUCCUACAGAUAAAACAUCUGGGAAAUGCGCUUGAUUUUUUUUUGUAACAUGUCUCAAAUUUUUGGAAGUUCCGAAUUGUAAAAAUUUAAAAAUAAAAAUAUAUUUGUCUGAUAA